GCAGUUUCACAGUUGGAAUCUGCAGCUUUUCUUAUGUGCAGCAGAGACUCACAGCGUAUUUGGAGUAACUGCUGAGAACUCAAUGUAUGACAUCUCCUAAUUAAAGAUCACCACCAAGUUAGGGAUCACUGAAAGCAGAUUCCUGUGUAUCCUUUUUAUUUCUCACUGGACUCUGCACUUCUUGAGAACAGAAGUUUGUCCUCACUUUAUUUCUGUAUCUUCAAAACCUGCAUGCAGCGUGUGUA
rnacentral:lncRNA from 1 species